UGGUUGCUUAUGUAAAGCUGUAUUUGAACAAUGGAUAAUACGGAUAGGAACAAACUAAAGAAAAUAUGUUUACUACAACAAACCUGGAAUAUAAGGGACAAUAACGGUGUGGCGUGGGGACGUGGUCAUGUGUCGGUUUGCGGGAGAGAGAGAGCGAGCCUAGACCUGACCAAUUGAAGCAACCCCAGAUCAUAACACUGCCUCCAGUUUGUACAGUGAGCACUAUGCAUGAUGGGUGCAUCGCUUCAUGUGCUUCCCUUCUUUACCUGGCACGUACAUCGCUUUGGAAUAGGGAUUCAUAUUCUGAGGUUAAAAGAGCCUGUCAGAUCCAGCUCUGUUCCUGCUUGGUGUCGCACUCUACUGCUACAUGUCGCUGAGAGAUGACAACAUACUACAUCUGGUGCUAGCCAGACAUCACUUCAGAUUUUUUACUUCAGAGGAUGAACUGAUGCCAACUCCAACUGUAAGACAUCAGUAUUUCAUAUGCCACUGCCUGAACCUUGGAGUUAUCUCUGCCUGCAUCACCUUUGUCUAUUGAUGGACUACACUCUUUAAAUGGAAUACAUAGACUAUAAUUGAAUUGCCAACAAAUGCCUUCAUCAGCCAACAAACAAAGGACAAUGCAUCUAUGUGAACAUCUGCAGUUAAUCCAGGAUGGACUUCAAAGACAUUAUUCAUUAAUCUUAGUUCAUAAAAAAAAUAUUUUUAUUUUUAAAAGACCGGACCUUAAUGCUUGCUUAAUUUACAAAUUAAUAUAAAACCAUGACUUGCACUGCACAUAAAUAACUAAUACUGGCAUUAUAUUCAUGUUGCUUAAACAGAGGAGAACUGGCCCCCACUGUGAGCCUGGUUUCUCCCAAGGUUAUUUUUCUCCAUUAACCAACAUCUUAUAGAGUUAUGUGUUGUGAA